UCGCCCCCGAACAGCCACAUCCAGCCCAGCUCUGCUCUGCUGCUGCUGCAGCCACAUCCCGGCCGCAGAGACAGAGCUUUGGAGGCAUGCAUGGGCUAAUGGGCCUGCCUAAGCUGAGUUUAGUUCUGUGUUUAAAAAUAAUGGAUAUGUUGAGUUAAAGUGUAGUAGCUAAUGACUGGAGGCAGCGAGGUUUUUAUAAAGUUGUUGAAGGGAAGGUAAAAAUAAAAGGGCUGGUCUCUAAUUAGAAAACUGUAACCUAUGUAAAACUAUAUCUUAUCAGGAUUGCCUUAUCUAAUUUUGCAUUCUCUCAGCCUGAGAGGUACCAUGUGUGCCUGUAAGUGAAUGUGUCCUUGGAAAAGUAACAGUAGCUACUGUGAGUUCCAUCAGAGGGCUCGUAGGGAAAUCCCGAGUCACACUAACUGCUAGUUAGUGUGAAAAUGUUGACUUUGUAGCUGCUGCUGUAUGCUUUGAGCUAAGAGCCUGUGUGAGUUUUGCCAUCAAUCUGCAGGUACAAUGCUUUGGUACAAUUAAUGUGGCACUUCAAAGCCUGAAUCCUGUGAGCAGCAGGCUGAAGCUAAAACGGGACAAAAUGAAUCCAGCAAUGUUUGCUAAAUGGUCCUUUCCUUUGAUUGCUGACAGUCUUUUAGUCCCUUCCUUGUUGGAGUCUAAAUGUCUACCAGCUCCUUUCAGAGUCACAGCAUUGCUGACCCAGGAAAAUUAAUUAUUUUCUUUUGUCUUCCAGUUAUUUUUCCCUAUUUCAUUGAGCAACCCUUUGAGAACCUCUUACUGUCUGUGCAUCUGCUUUUAAUCUGCCUUUGCUGCAAAGCUUGCAGAGCUGCCCUUUGUAAAAUUCUGUAAAAUUCUUUACAGUAACAAGAAAUGGUGCACAGACCUUCAGAGAUGGGGAAGAGGUGAAGCCAAGCUGGCAGCCACAGCACAAGACCUCACAACCUCAGGUCCCAGACCCCAUUACUCCUUCCACCACUGGUCCUGAGCAGCAUUAUCUGUAGGGCUGAACAUGCUGCUGGUGGAAGGCUGAGACGGGUGAUCAACAGAGGUUCAUGACUGCCAGUAGGAAAUCCUGUGGAAAAAGAAAAGCCAGAGCUGUUAAGGAUCAUCUGCUCAAAGCCAGGACCGGGAGUGGUGGACCCUGGAGCAUCCUCCCCCUUUACCAGCACCUUGUAGUUAAAAACCUGCAGUGGAAACUAAUUCCUACAGCUGUGUGGAUCGUCAUCAGCCAUGCACUGCACAGGAGCCAAACAUUACAGCUUUCUGACAACUUUUCAGAUGGCUGCAUCUCAUGUUGCCAUGGAAAUGGACCUGAGCUCACUGAAAGCUGGGACUGAGGAAAUACUGCAGCCAAAUAUUUUGUCAUUACUGAGUUGGGGUUAGGUUCAUUGUUUUGGCUGAAAUCCAAAUGGAGUAAACAGAAGAUGGAUGUAAAUGAGCUGCUUGGAGUUCUGGUGGAGAGAACACCCCUUUCUUCUGGUGCAGGAACAGAGGCAAUAGGCAUUAUGAUGAUCAGCCUGGUGUGAAUGGAGGCCCAUCCACAGUUCAAAGGAGAUAACUCCAUCAGGAAGGAAUAGACAUUCUCCUCUUAACUGCUCUGCUUGAUAUUCCAGAGGCAGUCACCUCCAGCAAGAGGUGAAGAAAACAACUGCAGUGCAGGUGAAGUUUAAGUUGUACAUAGGAACCUGAGCAUCAGCACUCACCAGACUGAAGAGUAAUAGAGAAUCACAUACACAAUUGUUUCCUAAAUUUUUGCUGAGCUCAUCCUGAAAGAAAAAAGAAAGGAUUUUGAUUUAAGGUGUCAUUAACUCACCCUAGCUCCGACUAUAUUCCAGCACAGUGACAUGAAGCACCUCUCUUGGGAGAGGCAUUGUUCAAAACUAGUUGCAGCUGAGAAUGCUUAAAAACUGAAGUAUCAGCUGUGUUCUGUAUGGACAACUGCAGUUUAAUAGCUCUGCAAGCUAAUCAGAGAACAGCUAAAGAAAGACUGGAUUGAAAUGAUUACAUUAUGAUGCUUUUCUAAAACUUCAUGUUGCUUUGUGGGCAUCAGACUG